UACGGAGGGAGCUAGCGUUGUUCGGAAUUACUGGGCGUAAAGCGCACGUAGGCGGCUUUGUAAGUUAGGGGUGAAAGCCUGGAGCCCAACUUCAGAAUUGCCCUUAAGACUGCAUCGCUUGAAUCCAGGAGAGGUGAGUGGAAUUCCGAGUGUAGAGGUGAAAUUCGUAGAUAUUCGGAAGAACACCAGUGGCGAAGGCGGCUCACUGGACUGGUAUUGACGCUGAGGUGCGAAAGCGUGGGGAGCAAACAGG
rnacentral:rRNA from 1 species